rnacentral:rRNA from 1 species
AUGUACAUUCCUACAACAUAGUGUUAAUGCACUGGAUCCCAUCAAAACUUUGCAGUUAAGCAUGCUCUAGCUAGAGUAUUAUUGGGAUGGGUGACCACUCAUGAAGUCCUAGUAUUUUACAUU